CAGAUUGCAGGCUGCAACCCGCCUGCAUGAAGUCGGAAUUGCUAGUAAUCGCGGAUCAGCAUGCCGCGGUGAAUACGUUCCCGGGCCUUGUACACACCGCCCGUCACACCAUGGGAGCCGGUAAUACCCGAAGUCAGUAGUCCAACCACGUGAGGACGCUGCCGAAGGUAGGAUUGGCGACUGGGGUGAAGUCGUAACAAGGUAUC
rnacentral:rRNA from 1 species